GGGGGGAGGCCGGAUCCUGGGCUGUGUCCCGGCGCCCUGUGCUCUGGGGCCUGCGCUGUUGGAUUCGCGCUCCCGCCCCGCAGCCCCCU
rfam:Canis lupus familiaris chromosome 2, whole genome shotgun sequence.